GGUAAAAUGGCUGAGAUGUUAGGUAAUAAACUGUAAAUUUAUUUAGGAAAUGUAAAUUUCUUUUACCA
rnacentral:tRNA from 1 species